UUCUGGUGGCUCAGUGGUAAAGAAUCCGCCUGCAAUGUGGAAGACUCAGGUUCGAUUCCUGGGUCAGGAA
rnacentral:tRNA from 1 species